UUUCCGUUGGUGAACCAGCGGAAGGAUCAUUACAGAGAUCGUGACCUUCGGGGUAGACCUCCCACCCUGUGUUUUUUACUUAUGUUGCUUUGGCGGGCCGCCCCCGGGCUCCCGGCUUCGGCCGACGUGUGCACGCAACAGAACCCUCAGCCUUGUGUUUAGUGUCGUCUGAGUAUUAUAAAAUAAGUUAAAACUUUCAACAACGGAUCUCUUGGUUCUG
rnacentral:misc_RNA from 1 species